rnacentral:rRNA from 1 species
UGGGGAAUUUUGGACAAUGGGCGCAAGCCUGAUCCAGCAAUGCCGCGUGCAGGAUGAAGGCCUUCGGGUUGUAAACUGCUUUUGUACGGAACGAAACGUCGAGCUCUAAUACAGUUUGCUAAUGACGGUACCGUAAGAAUAAGCACCGGCUAACUACGUGCCAGCAGCCGCGGUAAUACGUAGGGUGCAAGCGUUAAUCGGAAUUACUGGGCGUAAAGCGUGCGCAGGCGGUUAUGUAAGACAGAUGUGAAAUCCCCGGGCUUAACCUGGGAACUGCAUUUGUGACUGCAUAGCUAGAGUACGGUAGAGGGGGAUGGAAUUCCGCGUGUAGCAGUGAAAUGCGUAGAUAUGCGGAGGAACACCGAUGGCGAAGGCAAUCCCCUGGACCUGUACUGACGCUCAUGCACGAAAGCGUGGGGAGCAAACA